CGACAAGGGCGCAUGGAGGAUGCCUUGGCUCUCGGAGGCGAAGAAGGACGUGACAAGCUGCGAAAAGCUGCGGCGAGCGGCAAAUACGCAUUGACCCGCAGAUGUCCGAAUGGGGCAACCCGGCGGAAGCGAUUCCGUCAUCCCUGAUUAGGGAGGCGAACGCAGGGAACUGAAACAUCUUAGUACCUGCAGGAAGAGAAAGUAACAACGAUUCCCCCAGUAGCGGCGAGCGAACGGGGAAGAGCCCAAACCGGCGGUGUUUAGGCACGUGCCGGGGUAAUAGGAGCGCUCAAGGGACCGUAAUAAGUGAGGAGAACCGGCUGGAAUGCCGGGCCAUAGCGGGUGAGAGCCCCGUAUCCGAAGCGGAAGACGGCAGGAGCGCCACCUGAGUAAGCCGGAACACGAGGAAUUCCGGUCGAAUUAUCGGGGACCAUCCCGAAAGGCUAAAUACUACCGAGAGACCGAUAGCGCACAGUACCGUGAGGGAAAGGUGAAAAGAACCCUGAGCAAGGGAGUGAAAAAGAACCUGAAACCAUGCGCCUGCAAGCGGUCGGAGCCACUGAGUGUGGUGACGGCGUGCCUUUUGCAUAAUGAACCUGCGAGUUGUCGUCGGCGGCGAGGCUAAGGUCUGGAGGACCGGAGCCGGAGCGAAAGCGAGUCCGAACAGGGCGUAUAGUCGUCGGGGGCAGACGCGAAACCGAGUGAUCUACGCAUGAGCAGGAUGAAGGACAGGUAACACUGUCUGGAGGUCCGAACCGGUAAGCGUUGAAAAGCUUUCGGAUGACUUGUGCGUAGGAGUGAAAGGCCAAUCAAACUCGGAGAUAGCUCGUACUCCCCGAAAUGCAUUUAGGUGCAGCCUCGGGACACUACCGCGGAGGUAGAGCGACCGAUAGGAUGCGAGGGCUUCGCCGCCUGUCAAGUCCUGACGAACUCCGAAUGCCGCGGCAGGAUUCCCGGGAGUGAGGGCGCGGGUGCUAAGGUCCGCGUCCGAGAGAGGAACAACUCAGACCACCGUUUAAGGCCCCGAAAUCCGGGCUAAGUUGAAGACAAUAACGAGGUGGGGCCGCAGAGACAGCUAGGAUGUUGGCUUGGAAGCAGCCACUCAUUCAAAGAGUGCGUAACAGCUCACUAGUCGAGCGGCCCCGCGUGGAUAAUAAUCGGGCAUAAGUCCGGUGCCGAAAGCGUGGGAUAGAUUAUAGAGAUUUAUCGGUAGGGGAGCAUUCCGCCGUCGGUGAAGCCGUGCCGUGAGACACGGUGGAGAUUGCGGAAAAGCAAAUGCAGGUAUAAGUAACGACAAAUGGGGCGGGAAACCCCAUCGCCGAAAGACCAAGGGUUCCCGGGCAACGCUAAUCGGCCCGGGGUAAGUCGGGACCUAACGCAGACCUGGUAAGGUCAUGUGGAUGGACACGCGGUCAAUAUUCCGCGACCCGGCUGUUGUGAGUCCCAGCGGGGACGGAGAAGCGAAACAUGCGCGCGCUGACGGAAUAGCGCGUUGAAGGACAAAGUCAAGGUCAUGGCGGAAACAUGGCUGAUGAAGUCCGAGAGUACGCGAGUUCUUCGGAACGAGUGACAGUCAUGGAGGAGCAGGCUCCCGAGAAAAUCCGCGAGGGAUGCUUGAGCAACAGUCGGCCCGUACCGGAAACCGACACAGGUGGUCGGGUAGAAAAUACCGAGGCGCUCGAGAGAUUCACGGUCAAGGAACUAGGCAAAUUGGCCCCGUAACUUAGGGAUAAGGGGCCCUCCCCCCUGAACAAGGGGAGGCGCAGAGAAUAGGUCCAGGCAACUGUUUAGCAAAAACACAGGGCUGUGCGAAGCCGCAAGGCGCAGUAUACAGUCUGACACCUGCCCGGUGCCGGAAGGUUAAGCGGAGCUGUCAGAGCAAUCGAAGCAGUGAAGUGAAGCCCCGGUAAACGGCGGCCGUAACUAUAACGGUCCUAAGGUAGCGAAAUUCCUUGUCGGGUAAGUUCCGACCU
rnacentral:rRNA from 1 species